rnacentral:lncRNA from 1 species
GUAAAUGAAGAAAUUAAAACUGCAAGUUGAAACUGAGUCACUGAUGGCGCCAGAUGUUUCUGGAGCAAAACUGGGAAAGAGGGUGAGCAUUGGAAAGACACCUCCUCCUGUUAUCUUCGAGAAGCCAUUUACUGGGAAAACAAAAACUGAGCUCCAUGAUGCAUAAAUUCCAAAAUGCAGAGGCCAAUUUCUUUCCCUUUGACCACAUGUCGGAAAGGCUCGGGGUUCAGUAACUGGAGG